AUUGAACGCUGGCGGCAGGCCUAACACAUGCAAGUCGAGCGGAUGAAGGGAGCUUGCUUCUGGAUUCAGCGGCGGACGGGUGAGUAAUGCCUAGGAAUCUGCCUGGUAGUGGGGGACAACGUUUCGAAAGGAACGCUAAUACCGCAUACGUCCUACGGGAGAAAGCAGGGGACCUUCGGGCCUUGCGCUAUCAGAUGAGCCUAGGUCGGAUUAGCUAGUUGGUGAGGUAAUGGCUCACCAAGGCGACGAUCCGUAACUGGUCUGAGAGGAUGAUCGAUCACACUGGAACUGAGACACGGUCCAGACUCCUACGGGAGGCAGCAGUGGGGAAGAUUGGACAAUGGGCGAAAGCCUGAUCCAGCCAUGCCGCGUGUGUGAAGAAGGUCUUCGGAUCGUAAAGCACUUUAAGUUGGGAGGAAGGGUUGUAGAUUAAUACUCUGCAAUUUUGACGUUACCGACAGAAUAAGCACCGGCUAACUCUGUGCCAGCCGCCGCAGUAAAAC
rnacentral:rRNA from 1 species